GACGAACGCUGGCGGCGUGCCUAAUACAUGCAAGUCGAGCGGACUUGACAGAGCUUGCUCUGUUCAAGUUAGCGGCGGACGGGUGAGUAACACGUGGGCAACCUGCCCUGCAGAUUGGGAUAACUCCGGGAAACCGGGGCUAAUACCGAAUAACAUUGAAAACCUCAUGGUUUUCUUUUAAAAGGCGGCUUCGGCUGUCACUGCAGGCUGGGCCCGCGGCGCAUUAGCUAGUUGGUGAGGUAACGGCUCACCAAGGCGACGAUGCGUAGCCGACCUGGGAGGGUGAUCGGCCACACUGGGACUGAGACACGGCCCAGACUCCUACGGGAGGCAGCAGUAGGGAAUCUUCCGCAAUGGACGAAAGUCUGACGGAGCAACGCCGCGUGAGUGAAGAAGGUUUUCGGAUCGUAAAACUCUGUUGUUAGGGAAGAACAAGUACCGGAGUAACUGCCGGUACCUUGACGGUACCUGACCAGAAAGCCACGGCUAACUACGUGCCAGCCGCCGCAGUAAGAC
rnacentral:rRNA from 1 species